GGUGUAGGCGGCUACACAAGUUGGGUGUGAAAGCCCCGGGCUCAACCCGGGAAGUGCAUUCAAAACUAUGUAGCUUGAGUACGUGAGAGGAAGGUAGAAUUCCAGGUGUAGUGGUGAAAUACGUAGAUAUCUGGAGGAACACCGGUGGCGAAGGCGGCCUUCUGGCACAGUACUGACGCUCAGACCCGAAAGCGUGGGUAGCAAACA
rnacentral:rRNA from 1 species